UCUCGAUUGGUCUAGUGGUUAGGAUACCUGCUUGUCAAAUGAUGUUGGCGUUUAUUCGUUUGCUGUCGUUGCCACAAUGCGCAGGUGGCCGGGGUUCGAUUCCCCGAUCGAGAG
rnacentral:tRNA from 1 species